GUGUUCCCUGCCCUUCGGGGUAGGAUCGCCACCCUUGAUUAUUUAUGAGUGUUGCUUUGGCGGGCCUCGUGGCCUGGCCGCGCCCCGGCUUCGGCGGGGGAGUGCCCGCCAGAGGAUUUUACAAACCUGAUUAUUAGUGUCGUCUGAGUACUAUAUAAUAGUUAAAACUUUCAACAACGGAUCUCUUGGUUCU
rnacentral:misc_RNA from 1 species